CUACGGGCGGCAGCAGUGAGGAAUUUUGCGCAAUGGGGGAAACCCUGACGCAGCAACGCCGCGUGAGCGAAGAAGGCCCUCGGGUCGUAAAGCUCUGUCAAGUGGGAAAAAAGCCUUUUGAUUAAUACCCAAAAGGUUUGAUGGUACCACUGGAGGAAGCACCGGCUAACUCCGUGCCAGCAGCCGCGGUAAUACGGAGGGUGCAAGCGUUGUUCGGAAUUACUGGGCGUAAAGGGCGUGCAGGCGGUUUGGCAAGUCAGAUGUGAAAGCCCUGGGCUUAACCCGGGAAGUGCAUUUGAAACUGCCUUUCUUGAGUAUGGGAGAGGAGAGUGGAAUUCCCAGUGUAGAGGUGAAAUUCGUAGAUAUUGGGAGGAACACCCGUGGCGAAGGCGACUCUCUGGACCAAUACUGACGCUGAGACGCGAAAGCGUGGGGAGCAAACAGGAUUAGAUACCCCAGUAGUC
rnacentral:rRNA from 1 species